rnacentral:tRNA from 1 species
GUUCUUAUGGUGUAAUAAGCACAUUAGAUUUUCAAUCUUUUAGUACACUGCUAUAUUUUAAGUGUUAAGAAUG